rnacentral:rRNA from 1 species
GACGAACGCUGGCGGCGUGCUUAACACAUGCAAGUCGAACGGAAAGGCCCUGCUUUUGUGGGGUGCUCGAGUGGCGAACGGGUGAGUAACACGUGAGUAACCUGCCCUUGACUUUGGGAUAACUUCAGGAAACUGGGGCUAAUACCGGAUAGGAGCUCCUGCUGCAUGGUGGGGGUUGGAAAGUUUCGGCGGUUGGGGAUGGACUCGCGGCUUAUCAGCUUGUUGGUGGGGUAGUGGCUUACCAAGGCUUUGACGGGUAGCCGGCCUGCGAGGGGGACCGGCCAAAUUAGGACUGGGAUACGGCCCAGACUCGUACGGGAGGCAGCGGUGGGGAAUAUUGCACAAUGGGCGGAAGCCUGAUGCAGCAACGCCGCGUGCGGGAUGACGGCCUUCGGGUUGUGAACCGCUUUCGCCUGAGACGAAGCGUGAGUGACGGUAAUGGGUAAAGAAGCACCGGCUAACUACGUG